CCUACGGGGGGCUGCAGUGAGGAAUAUUGGUCAAUGGACGGAAGUCUGAACCAGCCAUGCCGCGUGCAGGAAGACGGUUCUAUGAGUUGUAAACUGCUUUUGUACAGGGGUAAACCUGAAUACGUGUAUUCAGCUGAAAGUACUGUACGAAUAAGGAUCGGCUAACUCCGUGCCAGCAGCCGCGGUAAUACGGAGGAUCCAAGCGUUAUCCGGAUUUAUUGGGUUUAAAGGGUGCGUAGGCGGUUUGAUAAGUUAGAGGUGAAAUGUCCGGGCUUAACCCGGGAACUGCCUUUAAUACUGGCGAUCUAGAGAGGAGGAGCGGUAGGCGGAAUGUAUGGUGUAGCGGUGAAAUGCUUAGAGAUCAUACAGAACACCGAUUGCGAAGGCAGCUUACCAAUCUAUAUCUGACGCUGAGGCACGAAAGCGUGGGGAGCAAACAGGAUUAGAUACCCGUGUAGUC
rnacentral:rRNA from 1 species